UCUGAGGUUUUUGGUUAUUUUGA
rnacentral:siRNA from 1 species